rnacentral:rRNA from 1 species
AGAGUUUGAUCCUGGCUCAGGAUGAACGCUGGCGGCGUGCUUAAUACAUGCAAGUCGAACGAGGGACUUCUGUCUUCGGAUGGAGGUUUCCUAGUGGCGAACGGGUGAGUAACGCGUUGGUGACCUGCCCCGAAGAGGGGGAUAACAGUUCGAAAGGACUGCUAAUACCUCAUGUGAUCAGCUGGAUUAGAUGCCUACUGAUUAAAGGCGAAAGCCGCUUUGGGAGGGGCCUGCGUCCCGUCAGCUAGUUGGUAGGGUAAUGGCCUACCAAGGCGAUGACGGGUAGGGGACCUGAGAGGGUGGCCCCCCACACUGGCACUGAAACACGGGCCAGACACCUACGGGUGGCAGCAGUAGGGAAUAUUGGACAAUGGGCGAAAGCCUGAUCCAGCAACGCCGCGUGCGCGAUGACGGCCUUCGGGUUGUAAAGCGCUUUUAGAGGAGAUGAGAAAGGACAGUAUCCUCAGAAUAAGCCUCGGCGAACUACGUGCCAGCAGCCGCGGUAAAACGUAGGAGGCUAGCGUUAUCCGGAUUUAUUGGGCGUAAAGCGCGUGCAGGCGGUUUGAUAAGUUGGAUGUGAAAUCUCCCGGCCUAACUGGGAGCGGUCGUUCAAAACUAUCAGACUAGAGAAUGGGAGAGGAAGGUGGAAUUCCGGGUGUAGUGGUGAAAUGCGUAGAUAUCCGGAGGAACACCAGUGGCGAAAGCGGCCUUCUAGACCAUUUCUGACGCUAAGACGCGAAAGCUAGGGUAGCAAACGGGAUUAGAGACCCCGGUAGUCCUAGCCGUAAACGAUGUAGACUUGGCGUUGGCGGAGUUAAAUCUGCCAGUGCCGAAGCUAACGCGUGAAGUCUACCGCCUGGGGACUACGACCGCAAGGUUAAAACUCAAAUGAAUUGACGG